UGAUGAAUGUGAAUAUGGGGAUAUUUGCUCUGAGAACUUGUGUCAAUAUAAAGGAUGUACACUAAAUCGAGAUUGUGAUAGAGGACAAUUUUGCCAACAAGGCAAUUGUAAAGAUUCAGAUUAUUACUGAUGAACAUGAUUCUCUCAGCGUCUUGCAAAGAGAAAGAAUCAAUGCAAACAGAAAAAAUAAAUUUGCUGAGAAGUAUGAUAUAAUAAAGUGUGCUACAACAAUAA